rnacentral:lncRNA from 1 species
AAUAAAUAAGAAGUCUUAGAAGGCUGCCUUCCAUAUCUCUGGUCUCUUUUUUGUGCACCUGUCUUCACUACUGAGCCUUCUCCCCUAACCAACCUAUGGGCCAGUGAUUCACAAUCUUGCUACACAUUAGAAUCAUAUGGAAAAUACUGAGGGGGAAAAAAAUAUCAGUGCCCCAGCAUCCUUUCAGAGUUUCGAUUUAAUCAGUCUUGAAUAAAAUCUGCUGUUUAACCAAGCUUGAAAAAUCACUGCUUCAGGAACUACAUGCCUUCACCCAAAUUUCUAACACUGCAUUAUCUUAAUCCAGCAUUGUAUUUUGAGUUUUUUGUCCUUACUUAUAGAAUGAAACUUUGAUCUUUCACCAGUCCAUUUCAUCUUUGUCCAUUUUUUUCCAGGAUCUGAAAUAUUUUUUCCCCACCAGGCCAAGAAAGCACCUAAUAGUUCAUUCCACCAGAAUCACCACCAAGAGCCUCCUGGUGUCAUACUUAGGUUUUGGGGCAAGUUUUAGGUUGCAAUUAGUGACUCAUAGAUCAGUGGCUGGGCAUUCCUAUAUUGCUUCUACCUCAGUAAGACAGUGUCUAUGAAUCUAGUGUUUGCAGUCUUCAGUGUCAGAUGUAUCUCCGUAUCUGUUGUGUGCUGCACUUGAAGUCUGUGUAUGCCUGAUUCAAAUGAGAACCUUUGCCGCCACCUUGUGGAUGACAUAGCUAAAUGCAAAAAGAUUCUGAAAUCAGAUCUUAAUAAAACUGCAAAUACAAAAUCGUCUGGAAUAGGCUUUGUGCUAAGCCCCAUUUAGAACAUGAAAAGCCACUAGUAAGACAUGUAAUUUUCAAUUUUUAUUCCCAGAAAUUAAUUUUAAUAAUUGUGUAAAAUUGGCG